AAUAGAUACCCUGGUAGUCCACGCCGUAAACGAUGAGUGCUAAGUGUUAGGAGGGUUUCCGCCCUUUAGUGCUGAAGUUAACGCAUUAAGCACUCCGCCUGGGGGAGUACGGCCGCAAGGCUGAAACUCAAAGGAAUUGACGGGGGGCCCGCACAAGCGGUGGAGCAUGUGGUUUAAUUCGAAGCAACGCGAAGAACCUUACCAGGUCUUGACAUCCUCUGACAACCCUAGAGAUAGGGCUUCCCCUUCGGGGGGCAGAGUGACAGGUGGUGCAUGGUUGUCGUCAGCUCGUGUCAUGAGAUGUUGGGUUAAGUCCCGCAACGAGCGCAACCCUUGAUCUUAGUUGCCAUCAUUCAGUUGGGCACUCUAAGGUGACUGCCGGUGACAAACCGGAGGAAGGUGGGGAUGGACGGUCAAAUCAUCAUGCCCCUUAUGACCUGGGCUACACACGUGCUACAAUGGACGGUACAAAGAGUCGCAAGACCGGCGAGGUGGAGCUAAUCUCAUAAAACCGUUCUCAGUUCGGAUUGUAGGCUGCAACCCCG
rnacentral:rRNA from 1 species